rnacentral:lncRNA from 1 species
CCAAUAAAAGUGUUCAUUCAACAUGUCUAAAGUCUUUUGCACACCAAAAUGUCCCAUUAUCCCUUCUGAAUGCGAUUCUCUAACAAGCAACUCACGCACUGAACAAUUGGGUAUACAUAUUUGUUUCCCUCUAAAAAGAAACUCAUCUUGCAAAUAAAACUUGUUAAACGCCCCAUCACAUGUCUUAAAUACAUCAGAAAAAUCAGUAUCAUUUUU